GGCAUCUCUACGUCUUUUUAAACGAGUGGCUGUCAUUCUUUUGUUUGCUGCUGCAAAUCUUUUUGCUGCUUCGAAUGGGCAACUCACGUUUUCCAGUGGUUGGGGAAAGCGGUCUGGUAAUGAUGACGAGAUCACAAUAAGCUUGGAUGACCAGCUCCAAUAGCUUCCGCGAUCUGACGACCAUUUAAGGACAAAGGAACAACGCUACCAGUUUUUGUUGCCGAUAUUUAGGUAUAAGACGUAAUAGUGAUGUUUUUUUAUCUAGCUUCAUCACAGCCAAAGAAUCUAUAAUAGGGAAUAGUACCUAAAAGAAUCAAUCCAUUAUGUGUCUACGAAAAUCUAUGAUAUUGUAUUACUGUAUACAUCGUGGUUUAUUUAUAUGUCAUCUAGCUUACAAAUAUAUUUUAAAACAGUGAUAAGAUUUUAUGAUGUAAAUAGUGCAAUAUGGCAUUAUUUUCCGAUUAAGUGUUUGCUUUGUAGUAUUAUUUAAAAACCAUAAACAACUAGAGUCAACAAUUAACGAAUGUAAAGAAAA